AUCUGAUGCCUGCUAUAUUGGUCCGCAGACCUCAAGCGCUGCCUGUCACUGAACUGCACCGACCUGAUUCACCCGCCCCACAGGACGACCCAUCCGGAUAAGCACACCUCCGGUCGGUGGCCAAACCGACCCGGUGUCGUGAAUACCCCCAAGUGCUGUGACUAAGUCAUGCUGGUAUGCUCAAUACAAAACCGACUGAAGCCGGUGCCUAGGCCGAAGCCAGAAACAAGGGCGUACAACGCCAAACCACGAUCAACCAGAUCGAAACACAUGACAAGAGAGUCGAUGUGUUGCCUGGACCCAAGGUCCACAGAGUCCAACUGACCAACAAGGUCCCUGAUACGAAGUACGAGAACCGACCAACCAGGUCAACAGAUACGGAAUGCAACAACCAACCAACUAGAUCAACAGAUACGGAAUGCAACAACCGACCAACUAGGUCAACAGAUACGGAAUGCAACAACCGACCAACUAGGUCAACAGAUACUGAAUGCAACAACAGACCAACUAGGUCAACAGAUACGCAUGUAGAUAGAACUACUCUACUCCUACUCAGGAUACUAAGCAUGCAAACAACGAGUAGAGUAUAACGAAUAAACAAGGGUGCAAGGCUCAAUAUACUAUGCGAUAGUAACAACAGAAGAGUAAGGGUAAGAAACCAUCACCAAGCGUGCACCACUGUACCGACGUAGGAUCGAAGUACCCACCUGUAAGGAUGUCGCGUCUGUCUCCUGACUGCAAAUGAAUGUCGACAGGACCUAUAGAGGGUCCACCGGGUUAGUAUCUAACCCACUACUAAGAACCACAGUAUCCAC
rnacentral:lncRNA from 1 species